GACCAUACCACCCGGAAAACACCGGUUCUCGUCUGAUCACCGAAGUUAAGCCUGGUCGGGCGAAGUUAGUACUUGGAUGGGUGACCGCCUAGGAAUACUUCGUGUUGUAGACUUUCACUUUUGCUAGGCCGCCACCGGAUUCGCUGGAAAUUAACUUUGAUAUUCAGCGCAGCAUAUUUCUAUAACCAUUUUGCGCAUUGGCAAAAUGCUACUUAGAAAUCGAAUUGAUUAGGGUGUGACUAAUGUCUACGACCAUACCACCCGGAAAACACCGGUUCUCGUCUGAUCACCGAAGUUAAGCCUGGUCGGGCGAAGUUAGUACUUGGAUGGGUGACCGCCUGGGAAUACUUCGUGUUGUAGACUUUCACUUUUGCUAG